rnacentral:rRNA from 1 species
GAUGAACGCUGGCGGCGUGCCUAAUACAUGCCAGUCGAGCGAACGGACGAGAAGCUUGCUUCUCUGAUGUUAGCGGUGGACGGGUGAGUAACACGUGGAUAACCUACCUAUAAGACUGGGAUAACUUCGGGAAACCGGAGCUAAUACCGGAUAAUAUUUUGAACCGCAUGGUUCAAAAGUGAAAGACGGUCUUGCUGUCACUUAUAGAUGGAUCCGCGCUGCAUUAGCUAGUUGGUAAGGUAACGGCUUACCAAGGCAACGAUGCAUAGCCGACCUGAGAGGGUGAUCGGCCACACUGGAACUGAGACACGGUCCAGACUCCUACGGGAGGCAGCAGUAGGGAAUCUUCCGCAAUGGGCGAAAGCCUGACGGAGCAACGCCGCGUGAGUGAUGAAGGUCUUCGGAUCGUAAAACUCUGUUAUUAGGGAAGAACAUAUGUGUAAGUAACUGUGCACAUCUUGACGGUACCUAAUCAGAAAGCCACGGCUAACUACGUG